AGCCUGUUCUCGAUUACUUG
rnacentral:miRNA from 1 species